CAGGAUGUGGCUAAGGUAGUAAAGCAUCUCCCUUACACCGAGCAAGUCGCCCGUGCAACCCGGGUCGCCCUGA
rnacentral:tRNA from 1 species